AAGCCACCUCAAGUGGACAAGGCACUUACCAACAGAGAUUGCUGAUUUGCACCUGAAACAAGAGAUUCACUGCUGCUAAGCAUGGCUCAGACCAACUCAUUCUUCAUGCUGAUCUCCUCCCUGAUGUUCCUGUCUCUGAGCCAAGGUGAGAUUUUCCCCCACACUUCCCACAACCCCAACUCUGAAGUCUUCCCUCCAUCCUCAUGCAUAAGGUUCACUUGAAAAAAAGCAGAGUCAACAUCAGGGUUGUUUUAUGUUGUUCAGUGAUCAUUAUGGCUGAUUUUAUCCCAUUCAAAAACACCCUCACCUCAUUCAUGGGUUUGAGACAGAAUUUAAUAGGACCACUUAUAGGUGACCAUUGUGGUUGAGUUUAUCUGAUUGAAUGUAUAUGCGAUGGCAGUUUUGGGGAUGUUUUUAUGUAGUCAUUGAUAGGAUGGAGAGCUAAGGCAAACGUGUGCAGGGAAACCAAGAGAAACUUGAGAAAGGAGGAAGCCUGGGUCUUUAAAGGCAGAAGCCUGAGCCUCAGAAAUAAAGGAGAAUGAGGACAGAUUUAUUUAGCCUAUUCAUUGUGACCUCUUG
rnacentral:sRNA from 1 species